GGUCUUAUAUAUUAAUAUAAAUAGUUAAAUUGCAAGUUUAAAAAUGUCUUUAGGCUAAGACUU
rnacentral:tRNA from 1 species